AUGACGAGUGGCGGACGGGUGAGUAAUGCUUGGGAACUUGCCUUUGCGAGGGGGAUAACAGUUGGAAACGACUGCUAAUACCGCAUAAUGUCUUCGGACCAAACGGGGCUUCGGCUCCGGCGCAAAGAGAGGCCCAAGUGAGAUUAGCUAGUUGGUAAGGUAACGGCUUACCAAGGCGACGAUCUCUAGCUGUUCUGAGAGGAAGAUCAGCCACACUGGGACUGAGACACGGCCCAGACUCCUACGGGAGGCAGCAGUGGGGAAUAUUGCACAAUGGGGGAAACCCUGAUGCAGCCAUGCCGCGUGUGUGAAGAAGGCCUUCGGGUUGUAAAGCCUUUCAGUUGUGAGGAAAAGUUAGUAGUUAAUACCUGCUAGCCGUGACGUUAACAACAGAAGAAGCACCGGCUAACUCCGUGCCAGCAGCCGCGGUAAUACGGAGGGUGCGAGCGUUAAUCGGAAUUACUGGGCGUAAAGCGCACGCAGGCGGUUUGUUAAGCUAGAUGUGAAAGCCCCGGGCUCAACCUGGGAUGGUCAUUUAGAACUGGCAGACUAGAGUCUUGGAGAGGGGGAGUG
rnacentral:rRNA from 1 species